rnacentral:rRNA from 1 species
AUGGCUCAUUAAAUCAGGGACUCGAGCUGGGGCGCAGCACACACCACCAGGACACACAGCGAUCAGCAUCGACGGCGCGCAUCACGGGCGACCAGUUAUCGUUUAUUUGAUAGUACCUAGGCAUGAGCUCGAGCUAGGGCUAGCACUACUACGACUACGACCGGCAGGAGUCAGCAUCGACUGAUCAGCGGGCGAUCGACGAUCAGUACACCAAAAAACCAAUGCCCUUCGGGGCUCCUUGGUGAAUCAUAAUAACUUAACGAAUCGCAUGGCCUUGCGCCGGCAUGGUUCAUUCAAAUUUCUGCCCUAUCAACUUUCGAUGGUAGGAUAGUGGCCUACCAUGGUGGCAACGGGUAACGGGGAAUUAGGGUUCGAUUCCGGAGAGGGAGCCUGAGAAACGGCUACCACAUCCAAGGAAGGCAGCAGGCGCGCAAAUUACCCAAUCCCGACAGGGGCUCUUUUGGGUCUCGUAAUUGGAAUGAGUACAAUCUAAAUCCCUUAACGAGGAACAAUUGGAGGGCAAGUCUGGUGCCAGCAGCCGCGGUAAUUCCAGCUCCAAUAGCGUAUAUUAAAGUUGUUGCAGUUAAAAAGCUCGUAGUUGAACCUUGGGUCUGGCUGGCCGGUCCGCCUCACCGCGAGUACUGGUCCGGCUGGACCUUUCCUUCUGGGGAAUCUCAUGGCCUUCACUGGCUGUGGGGGGAACCAAGACUUUUACUGUGAAAAAAUUAGAGUGUUCAAAGCAGGCCUUUGCUCGAAUACAUUAGCAUGGAAUAAUAGAAUAGGACGUGCGGUUCUAUUUUGUUGGUUUCUAGGACCGCCGUAAUGAUUGACUAACUACUGCGAAAGCAUUCGCCAAGGAUGUUUUCAUUAAUCAGGGAACGAAAGUUAGGGGGAUCGAAGACGAUCAGAUACCGUCGUAGUCUUAACCAUAAGUACAAUCUAAAUCCCUUAACGAGGAACAAUUGGAGGGCAAGUCUGGUGCCAGCAGCCGCGGUAAUUCCAGCUCCAAUAGCGUAUAUUAAAGUUGUUGCAGUUAAAAAGCUCGUAGUUGAACCUUGGGUCUGGCUGGCCGGUCCGCCUCACCGCGAGUACUGGUCCGGCUGGACCUUUCCUUCUGGGGAAUCUCAUGGCCUUCACUGGCUGUGGGGGGAACCAGGACUUUUACUGUGAAAAAAUUAGAGUGUUCAAAGCAGGCCUUUGCUCGAAUACAUUAGCAUGGAAUAAUAGAAUAGGACGUGCGGUUCUAUUUUGUUGGUUUCUAGGCCGCCGUAAUGAACUAUGCCGACUAGGGAUCGGACGGUGUUUCUAUUAUGACCCGUGUCUGGGGGGGAGUAUGGUCGCAAGGCUGAAACUUAAAGAAAUUGACGGAAGGGCACCACCAGGCGUGGAGCCUGCGGCUUAAUUUUGACUCAACACGGGGAAACUCACCCGGCACAGGACUAGCAGCUAGCAGGGAUCGACUAGCAUCAGCAUCAGCGACGUACGUAGCAGCAGCGACACAAUAGGGAUAGUCGGGGGCGUCAGUAUUCAGCUGUCAGAAGUGAAAUUCUUGGACACCAAUUUGCUGAAGACUAACUACUGCGAAAGCAUUCGCCAAGGAUGUUUUCAUUAAUCAAACAGAGCGGCAGGGAACGAAAGU